GACAUUUGUGACAGUAAGAGGAGCCGGUCAUCUGGUACCUCUAUACAAGCCAAGUGAAGGUCUAGCCCUCAUCCAUUCUUUCUUAACUGGUGAAGAACUUCCAUCUCAUAGAUAAACGUCGAUUGUAUCCCAUAAUAAAAUCUCUACGAUAAACAUAUCGUCAAUGAUUCAUGCAUUAUACUUGCUUCUUGAUUAUACUACAACAAGAAUCAAGAAUUGAGAGACCAUAAAUAAGCAAGAAAAUGUCAA
rnacentral:misc_RNA from 1 species